rnacentral:tRNA from 1 species
UACAUUUUAAUAUAUGAUGUAUAUAAAUUUUUGAUAUUUAUAGAGAUAGUUUAAUUCUAUCAAAUGUAA